CACAAACCAGUAAGAGACAUUAAAAAGAAAGAAAUGAUUGUAAAUCAUAAUUCUGUUAAUGAUGGUGCUGCAACCUCAGAAUGGGAUUAGUAGUAGUUUACUUUUUCACCUGCAGGAUUGCACCUCAAUAAAAUGAUAGGUGUAGCCUACUACCAUUCCAGUUUUCACCAGAAGCCUAAUAUUAUAAGCUA